CCAGGCCUCUGCCUGGCUGAGACUUCAAAGGCUUCCUGCUUUAAAGGGCAAGGAGCACCCCUUCCUGGGAGCUGGCUGUACCUGGGCCUCCAGACUCCACUCCCCAGCCCCUCCUGUCCAGAGGGCACUGGCCUCCUCCCUCUGUGUAUGAGCGGUGCUGGGGCAAGAGCCUGGCAGCAGAACUGGCCUCCUCUCCCCCUAAGGAAGCCGAGCACAGCCCGGAAGGGCGUAGGAGAGGCCUGCUACCAGCUGUGCCAUCGGCUCAGAAGAUGGGUGCUCCCCGGAACUUCUUUUAACUUUUCUUGCAAGGGCCCAGCUGUGUACUGAGUGCUGAGGAAACCAAGAUGGACAACAUUGCUGUUUUCCUGGAAUGUUCACUCAUUGAUCCAAACAGGAUGGCUUUGGUAACAACAGCGAGAUGUGAACAGAGACCUGGCCUCAAACUUUGGCCCUGAUGGGAGGAACUGUAGUGCACGAAGCUACCAAAUCUAGAACAUCUCCUGCGUGGUGCGGUUGGGGAAGUGGGCCCAGAGAAGGAAGCGACCAGCCCAAGGCUCCAUGGCAAGUAGGUGAUCCCGCUCUGGAGACUUACUUUAGGGAUCUUUUCUCCCUAUCAAAGUGCUGCUCCUGGCCAGCUUUGCAUCUUGUAACAUCAUCCCUCUGGAACUUUUUCCCCCCAAAGUGAGAAGGUAGGAUCAAGAUUUUUGACUGACUCAAUCUAUGCUGGGGGAGCGUUUAGAGGAGUGGGACCAGCACAUCCUGCAGGAUGAAGGGGCUGCAAUGAAAGGCAUCAUCUGCUGGGACAAAGCUCUGCAAGGAGCUGCCCUAUGGGCUGAAUCAGAGAGGCAUUUUCUGGGGCUCAGGCCUCUCCCACUGGCCGCCCAUAGGCAACUCCUAUGGUAAUUAUCACUGUACCUGGGGCUGCAUGAGUACUUCAGUAAUGAGAAACCUCUAUCAUCAACUUGUUACUGUCAAGUAAAAAAGGCAGGAUAAAUGCUAAUUUAUUUUUCUUUACUGGGUUUCAAAAUGAGCUGUUUUCUUAGCAUCAUCCAAAGAUUUUCUUUUUUUAAGAAUCAUUAUGAACUCAUGCAUUUAAACAUAUCUGAUGUGUUUUAAUUCAUUGUUAUUCUUCUUAGUGAUGCUCAAAGUGUCCCAUCUUUGGCAAGUAAGAGCAUCCUCAAAUUAUCUCCUGAGUCUACCCUUUGUAUAAGCCCUCAGUGGCCUUUGAGAGCUUGCCUGAUAUCUGGUAUGACAAAAUGUUACAGACCCAUCUCGUACAUUUCCUGCCCCAAGCCUGCAAUCAGCCAUUUCUCCAAGGAGUUUCUCUCAGUGGAAACUGAUACUGAGCUCAGCUGCCUCUUGGGAGAGUUUAUUCAUGUUUCCUGGCUGACCAUCAUGGAAAGUAGGGCAUGGGUGUCUCUU